rnacentral:rRNA from 1 species
UACAGAGGUGCUCAAGCGAUUUGUUUCGGAUUCAUUGGGGCGUAAAGGGUGCGUAGGCGGCGCGGUAAGUCGGGUGUGAAAUCCUUGGAGCUUAACUCCGAAACUGCAUUCGAUACUGCCGUGCUUGAGGACUGGAGAGGGAGACUGGAAUUUACGGUGUAGCGGUGAAAUGCGUAGAUAUCGUAAGGAAGACCAGUGGCGAAGGCGGGUCCUCUGGACAGUUCUGACGCUGAGGCACGAAGGCCAGGGGAGGCAAACGGG